rnacentral:misc_RNA from 1 species
GGACUCGGCUGUUAGAUUGCUGCACAAUUAAAUCAUGCUUCCACAUUAUGGAUCUAGGCUAUGAUCCAUGAUGAGAUAGUCUACUCCAAUAAAACAUUGACAUGCGUGCAAUCAUGGGCUUACAACUAGACUAUACACUAUUCCACAGGUCCAUUGUUUUUCACAACCAUUCAGAAACCAUAAUUUACAAAAUUUGACACUGAGUUGGAGAGGUCCGUCGCGGAUGCCGCAACGUAUGGCUCGAGGUAUGGUAUGUUAUGGUUUAAACAUUUCAACUUUCAAAUAUGGCGCCAGUAUCGUGUAAAAGUAGGUCAGUUUGCUGCCUCGUUUUGAACAACUGAGAUUACAAAAUUUUGGUCAUUGUAUUGAGUUUACAGUUCUUUGCGUGAAAGCUGUUCAAAUGGACAAAAUUGGGAGGAAGAGGUCAUUGUUUGGAAGACAACCAGUUAGAAUUCUCCUGGUUGAUUCCAGUCCUCCUAUGGAUGAAGAGAUCUGUCAAAACCUGACUGCUGUGUUAGGAGAAAUGUUUGCUGUUGUUUCUAAUCUAAAUGGUCCAUCAAGGUCACCAUUUUUUGGUCUUCUUGUACUUGGUGUCUAUCCUGAGGUAUUGUUCCCAUUGCAACAUGUUAAGGGUAACACUGGUAAGCUCCACGCUGCACUUCAGGAGCUACAGAAUGUAUCAUUGGGGAGUUCUGCACAUUCUGACACUGGUGACUGUCUUUGUAUGGGACUCAAGGAGGCAGCUUUGCAAUACAGAAGACAAUCCCGAAGUUUUGCUCAGGUAGGCGGGUAUUGGAAUCAACUCGAGGUGAUUUUUGUCACUUCAAAAUCUGGGGAUUCAGUGAGUAAGCACAUACAAAGGAUCAGUCACUCCCUUGAUCUUGAUGUCUUGAAGAAAAUUCUUGUAGUAAGUGUAACAAACACAGGGAGGUUGAACCUGGAAGAGGAGAGUGGAGAAUGUAACCAGACUGUAGAUAUGAGUCUCUCGAACCUCUCAGAGCUAGAGGAGAUUGCACAAUGCAGUGACAUUGUAGAUACCAUCUCCCUAGAACAUGAUAAGAUGUGCCUUGAGAACUUCUUCAAAGGCUGGCUGUUGGACACCAGCACUGAUAGUGAACACGUUCACAUUAUCUUGCAACAAGAAAAGGGUUCAUUGAUAGUAAAGUGUGAUAUCCAGGAAAGGUUAUUGAAUCCAGCACAACUACCAUUCAACAGUCAGUUUGGCUUAAACCAAGAGAACACCAAGGCUCAAACAUCAGGAGCUGUCAAGUCUACCCAGGUCAAUAUCCCUGUAUACCAGCUGAGGGUCAUCAAUCUCAUUUCUUCAGACUCCUUGUGCGAAUCUGUGCUCUUUGGAAUGCCAUAUAUAAUGAGGCCAACAUCUUGUUGGAAGAUAGAUUGGGAUGAGCUAGAGAUAAACCAGCAACAUUUUAAUGCCUUAACAAGUCUCCUUAAGAAUAAGGAGCUGGUGAUUCUCGCUCGGAUUGAUUCUCCAAAUGAAGGUCAGGGAUCCAAAGGUUCUUACAGCACUACUGUCCCUCUUGCCCCUUGUGGUCACUUCAUUAUCCUACCAUCUGAGGGAGGAAGCAUGUUAAUCAAAUCUGUGGCUGUCAAUGAGUUAAUGCUACCAUGUGAGAACUCUAUCUUAGCUGACAGCCCUAGUCAGACGAGUUUAGAGACAGUAGAAGCAGCUUUAGCACAGGUUGAGGUCCUGCCCUCUUAUAACCCUCUGAAAGUGAAGUCUGGAUUAAACAAAAGCUUGGUUGCCAUGGUUACAAAAGGAAUGCCAAGACAACCUCUGAAGCGGAAACCUACAAGAGGUGGUACAACUUCAAACACUGGUGUCCCUAGCUAUCAUUCAGCAUUCUCAGACAAGCCAUUUGGAACAACCCAUGGUACAGGUAGGGGUAACACAAUCCAAGUGAGAGGACAAGGUGGAACAACCAGCACAACUCAACCCAAGGGUAGGGGAUAUACAGCACAACACAAUGAUAAAUUUUAUUCAUCUAAAAAGGUGAAAUUUUCUGGGAGAGACAUUUAUGGAAGACCCUGUGAUGUUGAUAGCUCUUUUCCAACAGAACUUUGAUGAGAUCUGCAGCCAACAGAGCUUAGCCUAAGUAAGAUCUGGAAUUAAAAGGUUUUUAGAGUUUUAGUGAGAUCUGGAACAAACAGAUAGAGCUUUAGGGAGAAUUGGAACCAUGCAACAGAGCUUUAUAAUGAGUGAGAACUUGAACAGAGGGGUAUUGCCUUCCACUUGAGUUAGCUUGUACUUGCCUUCAAACAGAGCUUGACCAAAGGAAGCUUGUAUGAGCUAUUGACGUAUAUAGUUGUAUGUUAUCUCCAAACAGAGCUAUUGAACAUUGGGUUGCUACCUUCAAAUAGAGCAAUUGAACAUUGGAUUGUUACCUUCAAAUAGAGCAAUUGA